rnacentral:rRNA from 1 species
UACGUAGGGUGCAAGCGUUAAUCGGAAUUACUGGGCGUAAAGCGUGCGCAGGCGGUUAUGUAAGACAGUUGUGAAAUCCCCGGGCCUCAACCUGGGAAUUGCAUCUGUGACUGCAUAGCUAGAGUACGGUAGAGGGGGAUGGAAUUCCGCGUGUAGCAGUGAAAUGCGUAGAUAUGCGGAGGAACACCGAUGGCGAAGGCAAUCCCCUGGACCUGUACUGACGCUCAUGCACGAAAGCGUGGGGGAGCAAACAGG